UGCCAGCAGCCGCGGUAAUACGUGUGGGGCAAGCGUUGUUCGGAAUUACUGGGCUUAAAGGGUGCGUAAGCGGUUCGUUAAGUCUGAUGUGAAAGCCCGGGGCUCAACCCCGGAAGUGCAUUGGAAACUGGCGAACUUGAGUACGGGAGAGGAAAGUGGAAUUCCGAGUGUAGGGGUGAAAUCCGUAGAUAUUCGGAGGAACACCAGUGGCGAAGGCGGCUUUCUGGACCGAUACUGACGCUGAGACGCGAAAGCGUGGGGAGCAAACAGGAUUAGAUA
rnacentral:rRNA from 1 species